rnacentral:rRNA from 1 species
UACGUAGGGUGCAAGCGUUAAUCGGAAUGACUGGGCGUAAAGCGUGCGCAGGCGGUUUGUUAAGACAGAUGUGAAAUCCCCGGGCUCAACCUGGGAACUGCAUAUGUGACUGGCAGGCUAGAGUGUGUCAGAGGGGGGUAGAAUUCCACGUGUAGCAGUGAAAUGCGUAGAGAUGUGGAGGAAUACCGAAGGCGAAGGCAGCCCCCUGGGAUAACACUGACGCUCAUGUACGAAAGCGUGGGGAGCAAACAGG